rnacentral:rRNA from 1 species
UACGGAGGGUACGAACGUUAAUCGGAAUUACUGGGCGUAAAGCGCGCGUAGGCGGUUUGAUAAGUGGGAUGUGAAAGCCCCGGGCUUAACCUGGGAACUGCAUUCCAAACUGUCAGACUAGAGUAUGGUAGAGGCUGGUAGAAUUUCCUGUGUAGCGGUGAAAUGCGUAGAUAUAGGAAGGAAUACCGAUGGCGAAGGCAGCCAGCUGGACCAAUACUGACGACUGAGGUUGGACGAAACGAUGGGGCAAACAGGGGAUUAAGAUACCCG